GACGUAGGGGGCCAGCGUUGCUCGGAAUUACUGGGCGUAAAGCGUGCGCAGGCGGUGAUGUAAGACAGAUGUGAAAUCCCCGGGCUCAACCUGGGAACUGCAUUUGUGACUGCAUCGCUGGAGUACGGCAGAGGGGGAUGGAAUUCCGCGUGUAGCAGUGAAAUGCGUAGAUAUGCGGAGGAACACCGAUGGCGAAGGCAAUCCCCUGGGCCUGUACUGACGCUCAUGCACGAAAGCGUGGGGAGCAAACAGG
rnacentral:rRNA from 1 species